GUGGGGGAUAUUGCACAAUGGGGGAAACCCUGAUGCAGCAACGCCGCGUGAAGGAAGAAGGUCUUCGGAUUGUAAACUUUUGUCUUGUGGGAAGAUAAUGACGGUACCACAGGAGGAAGCUCCGGCUAACUACGUGCCAGCAGCCGCGGUAAUACGUAGGGAGCGAGCGUUGUCCGGAUUUACUGGGUGUAAAGGGUGCGUAGGCGGCUAGACAAGUCAGGUGUGAAAUACCGCAGCUCAACUGCGGGGCUGCACUUGAAACUGUAGAGCUUGAGUGAUGGAGAGGUAAGCGGAAUUCCUAGUGUAGCGGUAAAAUGCGUAGAUAUUAGGAGGAACACCAGUGGCGAAGGCGGCUUACUGGACAUUAACUGACGCUGAGGCACGAAAGCGUGGGGAGCAAACAGGA
rnacentral:rRNA from 1 species